GGGGAUGACAGGCUUCGACGGGAGAGGCUGGUUCCGGAAUGCGAGCCGAGCGGCGCCGAACUCGUUAACGCAGCGCAAAACCUUAAGUGCCAACCGCACUUCCUACGCUGCUAUGCCUCUCGCCGCCUAGUGUGACGAGAUCAUAACAGUCGGUCUCCUUGAUGAGACCGCGUCCACCGCGCGCCGCCCUCCACCCGGCGACGGACCGGGCGACACAAUGGUGUGAGCGCCGCGUAGGAUUCUGCUAACUACGCCUAAGCCUAGCAGAUGGUCGCAGGGACGCUAGCCCGCCGAGGUCUUUGCGAUGACAUUAUCCGGCAGGCUACGCUCGUAGAUUUCCGAGGGUCGAGUCUUUCGGACCCGGGUUCAAUUCCCGGCAUCUCCAC
rnacentral:tmRNA from 1 species